GGCUCCGCCGCCUUGGAUGUCACCGUGCAGUCGCACAGCCAGGAGUCAAGCUACAGGGAUGUAGCUCUCCGCCCGCUGCGUCUUGCUGUUCUAACAGAGGCUGUAUGAAAACUUGGUAAUCCUAGAAACUGCUCAGAUGGACCUCGCAUAAAAGAAGCCUCACAAGGUUCCGUUGGAAGGGGAAGUUUCCCAUGAUUGUAUCUGCAGACGGAUUCCUAACUGCGUAAUGGGCGCUACUGGUUUGCACCCCAAGGCGAAGGCGCUGAAAAUGCUCCUGUCACCUUAGAUCUCAGUGAUGAACGACAGGAGGAGGAGUAGACACUAACGUUGCAACAGUAGAUGCCUUUUCUUCUGCCUCUGUGACAGGUUUUCAGAAGUGGAAAGGACCGCAUUUAGACACUAGCCAAACCAUGAGUUUUCAAUAACCUAUGGACACCGUUGAGGACUCAUUGAAUGUGGCUAUAAGUGUGGUCAAGUAAUGAAAACUGAUCAGCUGAGGGAGGAAAAAGACAAAAGUGGAUGACCAAAAUGAAGCUCCAGAAUCUUUCGAGGACUGCCUAUGUUUCCUGUUUUGGAUUAGGAAAAUGUGGCACAUAUACACCAUGGAAUACUAC
rnacentral:lncRNA from 1 species